rnacentral:rRNA from 1 species
UACAGAGGUCCCAAGCGUUGUUCGGAUUCACUGGGCGUAAAGGGUGCGUAGGCGGUCGGGUAAGUCUGAUGUGAAAUCUCACAGCUUAACUGUGAAACUGCAUUGGAUACUAUUCGGCUUGAGAGUUGGAGGGGGGACUGGAAUUCUUGGUGUAGCAGUGAAAUGCGUAGAUAUCAAGAGGAACACCGGUGGCGAAGGCGAGUCCCUGGACAGCUUCUGACGCUGAGGCGCGAAAGCUAGGGGAGCAAACAGG